rnacentral:rRNA from 1 species
UUUUAUGAGAGUUUGAUCCUGGCUCAGGACGAACGCUGGCGGCGUGCCUAAUACAUGCAAGUCGAACGCUUCUUUUUCCACCGGAGCUUGCUCCACCGGAAAAAGAAGAGUGGCGAACGGGUGAGUAACACGUGGGUAACCUGCCCAUCAGAAGGGGAUAACACUUGGAAACAGGUGCUAAUACCGUAUAACAAUCGAAACCGCAUGGUUUUGAUUUGAAAGGCGCUUUCGGGUGUCGCUGAUGGAUGGACCCGCGGUGCAUUAGCUAGUUGGU